UGAGGACGCUUCCUGUAUGAAGGCUCUCGAAGCCUUUAUGCCGAGGGCCGCGGCGGUCCUGGCCGCCUGCGUGCCCCCGGCCUUCGUCUUUGGAAUAAACAGCCAUGGAUGGUCGGCAGCAGCUCUGACCCCCCAUGGUCGUCAGCCUGUGUCUUGGAGUUGUUCUAGGAGUCAUCCUGCUCCGUGUCUUACCUCCCGAAUGUUCUAAAUACCUGAACUGAAAUAUGUCUAAAGAAAUCUCUCACCCCAGUACCACGUCUGCCGAGCAGUACAUGCUCCUCAGCUGUUCGUCUUCUCUGAAGAGUACGAGCAGAGGAGCCCUGUACUCUUCGGUCUGGCGAUGUGAGGGGAAGCCCGCUCUCCUCCUCGAGUUCUCCUGUUGAAGUACGCCAUCUUGUCCUUCUCUACCGCGAUGGACUGGGCACUGCGAGACGAUGUGACCGCAGGGGUUCCAAUGAUGGGAGGGCGUUGACAUCUGCUGACGUACUCCUCUGCUCUCCUGCAGAUUCGCCCACCCGGCCCCGGCCCUUCUUUAUCGGGGACGAUUCUUCGGCUCGCCCCGUAGGAGAUUUUUAGGUACGGGCCCGGCCCGAUCAUCCAUAUGCCCUAUCUCAGAGAGAGAGAGAGAGAGAGAGUGAAUAGAAGGAUAUUGGGUGCCACAUAAUGUGAUAGUGAGUUGUUGACCGCUUGGCAAGGAAAAAGGCCCGGCGGACUCCAAACCGGGCCCAUCGAGAAAUGGACGUGGUCUAGUGGGCCUGCUGCGGUAAGGCCCACCACGCCGUCUUUGAGACUCGAGCCAAAAUUAUUGGGCCAAUCUGAACCACCCUGUGCGCACUAUUAUCUCUGUUAGACCACGUGGAAUAACCGGCUUCUGCUACACCAGGACCCAGCAUAUGCAUAUAUAUUAAGCGAGCGAGAGAGAGAGAGAGAGAGAGAGAGAGAGAGAGAGAGAGAGAGAGAGAGAGAGNNNNNNNNNNNNNNNNNNNNNNNNNNNNNNNNNNNNNNNNNNNNNNNNNNNNNNNNNNNNNNNNNNNNNNNNNNNNNNNNNNNNNNNNNNNNNNNNNNNNUCUCUCUCUCCUCUCUCUCUCUCUCAUCGGCGGCGGGUUCUCGGCCUCGACCCGCGUCGCCAUCGCUCCUCGGCGCUGUCCCAUUCUCGUUGACGGUGCUGCGUCUCGAGGAAGGAUCUCUUUUCCGCGACUUUUGCUAUUCAUGUUGACGCUAAUGUUACGUUCCGCACGUGUGGGAAUGGCCCCCACGUGCGGUGGAUCACAGAAACCUAUGGGCGGCCCAUUUAUGAGCCCAGGAUCAACGAAAUAGUGUUAAUGGGCUAAAUAAAUGGGAUGGGCCCAUUUAAUCACUUGGACCAACAGUGAAUCACUGGGCUGACCAUCUUGACCCAGAUCGAUUGACUAUUUAUUCAGGUCAGACUCGAAGUUAAAAAUCGUGGAUACGGUUGAGGGGUUUACCAUUUAAGGUAAAACCCGUAUUUACUAUAAUUUUCCCGAUUUUUUCGAUACAACCCACAACGUGGGCGUUGCCCACUUGACGUUGACCUAUGGGCUCUCAGUGGGUCAACGUCAAAAGGAAAAGUCCACGUUAAGAGGGGCGGCGAGAUCCCCGGGUUGUCGCCGGGCCACGUGAGCUGUCCGAUCACAUCGGAGGGGCUAGCAGCGAUAAAAUAAUAUAUUCAUUAAUAUAUACUCUAAUGAUAUCAGAAAAGUCAACAGAAUAGAGAUUGGCUGGGCCUUCGCCACGUGUCAAUCCGAGGGCCGCCCUGUGACCGCCACGUGCCCCCGUUCCCACUCGAACAACAGUUGAAUUUUCUGUCCCUCCAUUCUGUGUCGGGUCUCUGAGCGGCCGUACUUUUACGCGUGAGUACCCCGACAAACCAUAUUUGUGCAGAAACCAUUAAAAAAAUUCCCUUCUGAUAAUUCCCUCGGAAUGGUCAUAAAUAAAUUCAUCCAUUCAACAAGGGUUUUUGCUUAAAAUUUGCCUCGGGCCUACCUACUAGUCCUGCCAACUAUAAAGCAUAGUAUUGAGAGAGAACCUAUUGAUAAUUUUGAGUUAUUUACUGGAAUUUACAUAGAUAAUUAUUAAACCACAAGUCAACUUAAAUUUAUAGGGACAUGCUCACAGCAUCCAUUGAUAAUUAUAUAAUGAUAGGAGCUGAUUAAUUUUAUCAAAAAAGUCAUUUUGAACUAUCUAUCAUAUCAUGAAAGUACCCUCGAAUGUAUGAUUAUGAGGGUUGGCAAACAAAUCCAUGAAAAGACCUCUCUACUCGUUUGAGUUAUUGAUGCCUUGAAUCCAAAUAUGUCAUGACCACAUACAUGUAACUGUAUCAACUUGGACACAUACUAGGUCACAUUUCUCAUGGGCCCUUCCAAGAAAAUAAUUUAAGGAAUAUUGUUUAUGUGUAAGAAAUAGAUGUUAAAGUGAAUUAACUCCUACAAACCACAUAAUGAAAGCUAUUAUUGUUUCCCAUCAUAUUAGUUCUUAUGUCCCAUGGAUCAAGAAAAUAGCAAAUGAUAGGUAGGAUAUUAUUCAAUGGCAUUUUCAUAGAUGGCAAAAAUUUAUAUGGCAUGCCAUUUUUCACUUAGGAUUAUGUGCCCUAAGCUCUUAUGUUGAAUGUAGGCCAUUUUAUCAUUAGAAAAUGAUCAUCAUUAUAAAAUUAGCAUUUUUUAAUUUGAAAAAAACAAUUAAAGUUAAAAACCCAAAGGAAAUGAAUUCGAAUGAUCAAACUGAUUCAAGUGCAUAGAGGAAGACUAUAGAAGCUAGACCAAGUUCUAUGAUUGUAACUUAUUCCUUUAUCACUAUUCUCUAUACAUAAUGGCUUGAUGAAAAACCUUUAGGGGCACUAUUGAUGAGCAAGAAAAUUUUAUUUCAAUAGAAAGUUAUCCACCCACUAUUGAUGAUCAUUUAUAUUUUGACGGAGAUAACUAUGAGAUAUGCACAUAAUGGCUCCCUAUAUAUGAUUGUCCAAAUCUUAGUCAUUCCCCACUACUAAACCAAAACCAUAAGCUUUGUACCAAAAGACCUAAUUAGUCUCUAUACAGAUUAUCUACCUUCUUAGAUAGAGGAAGGGGCAAGUGAAGCAUUUUAAAAUAUGAGAGGAAUAUGUGCAUAUAUACAUACAUACACAAGUCCAUACAUAGGAGUUAAAUGGGAUGGGGAACAAGAUCAAUCUAUUUGAGAGGAAAUGUCUAGCUCCAACUUUUAUGUUAUUCUAAAGAACAUAGUUUGAACACAAUUAUCAAGCUAUGUGGCAGGCCUCUCAACCCCUGAUAUGACACAUUUGGCAACAUAAAUGACAUUUUUCUCAUCUACCUUGAUUCCAAGGAUAUACUAAGGAAUGGAGUGCAGUUAUACUUCUUAUGUAGGAUUUUUUUGCAAUAAAACGUAGAGUAAGGGUGACAUACUAGAGAGGCGUGGGGCCAGCGAAGUUGGCCGGACCAGCUCAACCCCACCCACCUCGAGGAUCUCCCCACCGGCUCGGCGGGCCGUACGGCGGCGGCCCCCCAAAAGUCCGACCGGGUCAAGGACAAAACCUCUCCCCUCCCUUCUUUUGUCCUCUUCUCCCCCCCUCAACCCCAACAACUAAACACUACGUCUACUUAAACGUGUCUCCUUUUUUAAUGGAAAUGGCCGCCACCGGUGAACGGUUGUAGCUUACAAAAUGCAAUUUUUUUCUCAAAAAUUUGCGACAUUUAGUUACCAGGAAAAUACCUCAUCACUUGGACGAUUUGUUAUUAACGUAAUAUAUGUGUUUUUAGCAUAAUAUAUAUUAAUAUAGUAGCACUUAUGCAUAUAUUAUCAAUGUAUUAACAUGAUAUACAUAUGUACAAUGUUGGCCCUCUUUAGACAAUAUCAAUGUCUAAAAAACUUAUCAUAGUUUUAACUUUUUACACAGCCCAUCAGAGCUAGAUGGGGGCAACCAUAAAAAUUUUAUCUUGAAAAUGUGGGAAUGGAUUAUGGUGCUCAUUUGUAUAAGCCAUUGUAUCUAACUUAAGAUCAAUCUUUUUGUUAGUUUGUUGGUUAUUAGAAAUAUUGCACCAACAAUCAUAUCAGCAAUGAUUUUGUUGUUGUUAGGUUGGGCAGUAUAUCUAUUGUAGUUGGUCUCUCUUCUAGGGAAAUCAUUGAUUCUUAGCUAAAAACGUUCAAACAUAAACAAACAUAAGCAAAUAAUUUUUACAAAUGGACAAGUUCUAGGGUGCCCCCAGUACAAUGGUGACACAAAAUAAUGGCUCCUUAGAGCUUGAUCAAUGCAUGAGUUAGAGCAUGACAAUUUCCUUUCUAAGAGAAAAAAUUCUAGGUUUUGAGUAUCACAACACAUUUGGUUCUAUGAUUUCACUAGAAGGUGGGGUAAAAGUUCAGGCAAUAAUUGCCAAAUCUAAUAGUUAUGGUUGGGUUUUAAUGCAUCUCAUUAGAACACCAAAAGAAUCCUAAAUAAUAAACAUUCCAACUCAACAUGCAAGAUUUAUCACAUUAAAUGUUAUAAUGAAUUUCCCUUGCUUUACUCCAGGUUUUGAAUGUCACAACCCAUCUAGUUCUAUGUUUUCAAAAGAGGGUUGUUAAAGGCUGAGGCGAUAAUUCCCAAAUCUAAUAGUUUUAGUUGGGUUUUAAUGCAUUUCAUUAGAACACCAAAAGAGCGAUAAAUAAUAAAUAUUAUAUCUCAGCAUGCGAGAUUUAUCAUAGUUAAUAUUCUUAUGAAUUUUUAUAAUAAUAAAAUUGAUAGGCUAAAGACACUAAAGAAACUACAAAUAUAUAUAUAUAUUAAUUUUCUACGUUGUAAAAUCUCAGGAAAAUGAAUUGUCACAUGAAUUGAAUUAUUUAUUCACAAAAAUGACAUAUUGCCCCCACUAUAUUGCUCUAUAACAUGAUGCGGUCUAAUAAAAAGGCCCUUUCUAUAUGAUGAUGACAAGUCUCGUCGGCAAUAUUACGGCCUGAGAUGGUAAUACCAGCGCUUUAAAAUUUUCAAGGGAGUAAAUACGAAAAUGACGGGAAUCAGGGGAGCGAAAGCGAAACCCCGAGCGUGGUAGUGGUCCCCCUGGUGGAGCAUUUUCUCCAUGCCACCACGUGUCGAACGUGGAGGGGAGGAACGUGGGGCCUCCCGCCGCGUCCUCCCUCCCCGGCCCGAGUCAAGCGAUGACGUCAUCCAAAUAUUUCCUCUUUCCUGUAUCCUUCGUCAUCAUCUUCCGGUGUCCUGAGGGGUAUAUGAUAGAAUAAAAUUUUUACCAGGGUUAGAGAAAGAAUCAUUAAGUAGGGAGGGCUUGGGGCGGUGGCAGGGGCGUUAUUUUAUUCCCAUGUGGGGUGGACGGCUUUAAUAGCCGGCGACAGGAGCUGACGUGGCAAAAUGGGGUGCUGCAUCCAUCCGGAUAAAAUAAAAAAAAGGGCGAAAUAACGGACGCCCAACUCCCCCACGAUCUCGACCCCCCGCCCUCCCCCUCUCCCUUUCCUAUCUCUAUCUCUCUCUCUCUCUCUCUCUCUCUCUCUCAGUACACUCUCUCUGUAUCUCUCUCCUCCCAAUUUCACCAAUAAUUCGCCGGAAAAGGGAAGGCUGAGGGGAAGUAUAUAAAAAGGGCGAGAUUAGAGGCGGGGGAGGGGGGACACUCCCCACAGUCAUUCUGACAGAGAGAGAUAGGGAUGGACAGAUAGAGAGAGAGAGAGAGAGAGAGAGNNNNNNNNNNNNNNNNNNNNNNNNNNNNNNNNNNNNNNNNNNNNNNNNNNNNNNNNNNNNNNNNNNNNNNNNNNNNNNNNNNNNNNNNNNNNNNNNNNNNNNNNNNNNNNNNNNNNNNNNNNNNNNNNNNNNNNNNNNNNNNNNNNNNNNAGAGAGAGAGAGAGAGAGAGAGAGAGAGAGAGGGUGGAGAAGAGGGGGGCAAGAGGAGGGGCAGGGGAGGGGGGAGGAGCGGGGAUUGUCUCGCCGAUCGGGAACUGGUGGUGGCGCCGCUGCGAUCCGGGGAGGGUUCGCCGGAGAGGGGAGGUGCUCCGGAGGGGAUGGCCGGGAGCGAGGCGGCGGCGCCGGAGGAGGCCGGAAGGGCGGGGGAGGAGGAGGUGAGAGCGGCGGCGGGGGCUGCGGCGGUGAAGUCGCCGCUGGAGAAGCCGCUGUCGGAGCUCACGGAGGAGGACAUCGCGCAGGUCACGCGCGAGGACUGCCGUCGGUUCCUCAAGGAAAAAGGUGCUCUAGUCCUUUUCCUUUGGUUUUCCUCCUUGUUUCUCUUCUUUUCCUUUGGAGGUCGCGGUGGAGCUGAUCUCGAUAUCCACGUGGCCGCCCGCGGUGACGGCGGCUCCCGUUUUCUCUGUGCAAACGAAUGCAGGUAUGCGCCGCCCUUCGUGGAACAAGUCGCAGGCCGUCCAGCAGGUCAUCUCCCUCAAGGCGCUCCUGGAGCCCUGCCACGAUGCAGACGACGACGCACCUUCCGCCGGUGCUGUUCCCUCCAUCUCCUCCUUCUUCUCGAAAAGGCCGUCCGACGCCCUGCUUCCGGCCGCCGCGGCGCAGGUGAGGAGGGGUAUCCUGUUCCAAACUUCCGUCGCCUUCUCUUCUAGCUCGAGCUGGCAACAUUUUGUGAAAUUGUUCCUUCUCGAUUUAGUUGGAGAAACGCGUGUGGUUUAUUGUGUUCUGUUUACUUCUCAGUUUCCCGUCUCUUCUCCAAUGAGGGGUGAACCUGCCGGCGGCGCGCCCCAAAUUGUCUCCGAACGUCCCCACGGAAGGGACCCGCUGGCGAACGUCUUCACCUGCUCCGACGCCCUCGGUCGAUUCCCGGCAACGGGGAACGGUGCUCUUCCGCCAAACAGUGCCACCCUCCCGCCCAGGUGCGUCCCUUCUCAGCACAACGCCCCCUCUAUUCAACUCUUUUAUUUCCCCGGAUUGUCCCUCAGAUGUUAACGGGCGCCCAUGGUGUUGUAGAGGGGUUGCUUCCGCUGAGACGCUGGAGGGACAGCUGACAAUCUUCUACGAUGGCAAGAUUAAUGUCUAUGAUGGUGUGACGCCGGAGAAGGUGAGGUCCGGUCAGAGUAAGUUGGCGGUGACCCCUUCCUGUGGUAGAUCUAGGCACUCAUGGCAGUGUAUUUCCCGUCUUUGAAGGCGCGGGUGAUCGUACAAUUUGCGGGGAGCCCGAGCUGCUACGAUAUGCCGCCGAUGCCUUCGCCGUCUUUCUACCCAAACCGACCCCCUAAAUGCCACGACCUGGCUCUGCCAGCGUUAUCUCAAGCGACAGGUGGUGGUUCCUUCAAUCCGCCACCGCCUCCGCCGCCGUUGCAGCCACCGCCGUCUCAUCCUGCCCAGCCUAUCGGCUAUUCCCAGGUUCCCCAGAACGCUGGUACGUUUUUUUCUCCGUCAUGACUUUCCUGCGGGUUCGCCUAUGCUUGAUCACGUUCACGAUAACGCCCUGCGGUGGCCCUCCUGCUCACGUUGAGUUCUAUUGCCCUGGCAGGAAGGUUCCCGCAGCAAUUUCGGGAAGGCAUGGAAGAGUGGAGAAGCUCGCGAGAAGUUGAACCAGGUGAGAGACCUUGGACCCUUUUCUUCAGUAUCAGUCGUUAUUCUCGUUUCUCUCUGCUUAACUGACCUAUGCACCCGGCCUGAACAGGCAGGGUAUGCUGGGUGAUUGAGGAGAUUACGCCUAUAUGUCAGUCUAUUACCAUGCUACUGUUUAAGGGUGUCCUUCUGUCUAAGUUAACUAGAGUGACCUUAAGCUCCUGGAUUUCUUAACCUACCACACCCUGAUGGUACAUGGUACACUCACAGUUGACCUCAAAGCCUUUCUCAUUCCUGCGGGGGAAGAGGGUGGGGGUGGGCGUUGACUGAGAAAAUUUUGAAAGCAAAUUGCUAAUUUCUGUUGUUCUUUAUAAUGACAUUUUAGGCAUUGCGCGCAAGAUAGCUCUUUUUUCCUUUUUAAGAACUGUGCUUCUUGAUUCCAUUAGCCCGGGAUUUAGGUUCCGUUCAUUGCUUAGUUAGCCUCCCCAAUUGGCGCUGUUUAUGAACGAUUGGCCUCGACCCUCUUCAGCAUCCUUAUCAGGGAUCUUGAGAUUGAGCUUAAUCUUAUCGCCUCUUCUCAAAUGAUUAUGGCUGCCGCGUUUUUUUCCAAUUUCCAGUUGAUUUACCUAUUUUUUGGGGAGAGGAUGACUGGUACAGUAUGGCAACUUAUCCAGUUUUGAAUUGAUGCUGAUACUGUUCUUCUUUAUAAGGCCUAGAAAUUGAUGGUAAUUAAAGUAACGUGUCAGUGAUUCCAUGGAUCACAUUAAUGCCCUAAACUUCUGUGUCUUAUGCUAUUCCAAAUCUGAAAACCUUAUGAAUCAGACCAACAAUAGUAUGAAGAAAAUUUAUUUCAUGCUAGGGUCCAUGGUGUUCUAUUCAAGAACUACCCUUUUUUUGGAUCAUGCAGAUGAUCUAUUAAGAGAACAAAAUGCAGUAGAAAUAAGUUAACGAAAGACAACAAGGUCAUGUCAUUUGACGAAUGAAGAAUUUCAGAAUCAAAUUGAAGCACAUUAC
rnacentral:lncRNA from 1 species